rnacentral:rRNA from 1 species
GAUCCUGGCUCAGAUUGAACGCUGGCGGCAUGCUUUACACAUGCAAGUCGAACGGCAGCGGGGGGCUUCGGCCUGCCGGCGAGUGGCGAACGGGUGAGUAAUGCAUCGGAACGUGCCCAUGUCGUGGGGGAUAACGUAGCGAAAGCUACGCUAAUACCGCAUACGUCCUGAGGGAGAAAGCGGGGGAUCUUCGGACCUCGCGCGAUUGGAGCGGCCGAUGUCGGAUUAGCUAGUUGGUGGGGUAAAGGCCCCACCAAGGCGACGAUCCGUAGCGGGUCUGAGAGGAUGAUCCGCCACACUGGGACUGAGACACGGCCCAGACUCCUACGGGAGGCAGCAGUGGGGAAUUUUGGACAAUGGGCGCAAGCCUGAUCCAGCCAUGCCGCGUGAGUGAAGAAGGCCUUCGGGUUGUAAAGCUCUUUUCGGCCGGGAAGAAAUCGUGUUCUCUAAC